rnacentral:rRNA from 1 species
CAGUCGCCACGGUAAUACGUAGGGUGCGAGCGUUAAUCGGAAUUACUGGGCGUAAAGCGUGCGCAGGCGGUUGUGCAAGACAGAUGUGAAAUCCCCGAGCUUAACUUGGGAACUGCAUUUGUGACUGCACGGCUAGAGUGUGUCAGAGGGGGGUAGAAUUCCACGUGUAGCAGUGAAAUGCGUAGAUAUGUGGAGGAAUACCGAUGGCGAAGGCAGCCCCCUGGGCCAACACUGACGCUCAUGCACGAAAGCGUGGGGAGCAAGCAGGAUUAGAUACCCCCGUAGUCCCUGUCUCUUAUAC